GGUAGCUCAGCUGGGAGAGCACCAGGCAACUUCAAAAUAUGUUUUGAUUAUCUUAUUAAAAUUAAAAAGACAAAUUCUGCAAAAAUUUUAAAUACAAUUUGACCCUUCCAAGGUUAAGACGUUGGUUCGAAUCCAACCCGCCU
rnacentral:tRNA from 1 species